AACAGAAUGAAAAGCCGCCCGCAUGCCACCAAAGGCAAAACCCAUAAACCCAAAUCCCACCUCUCUCUCAAAGAAACAAGUUCGUUAGAGAGAAGACGAGACGAGAAUGACUUUGAAUUCUAUAAAAACGGAGGAGGAGAAUAAGAAAAAAAGAGAGAAAGGACAGAGUCGGUGGUAGCUCAUUGAUUCAUCAUAAUCAUCAUCCCCCUUUUUUGCUUUACAACUCCAUUGAAAGGGAAAGAAAGGGAAGGUUUUGCGGCUAAACACAUAAAAAAAAGAGAGAUGCUCAUUUGGGAUUGUGAGCCACCAAAAACCCAAUAGCCAAACAACGCAAAAGAGAGAGAAGAACGGGGUUUGUGCCUAUAAUAAGGC
rnacentral:misc_RNA from 1 species